GUUGCUUUUCUUUGUAUGGGAAAUCAGAGUGCCCAAGUUUACAAGCUGGUUGGCAUUCAUACUGAGAAGCAUAAAUCAACUUAGCCAGUUUUAAACAGCACGAUGUUUGUUCUGUAGCAUUGUGUUACCUGUCUUCUGGUAUAUGU